rnacentral:tRNA from 1 species
GGGGUUGUGACUAAGUGGUAAAGCACUUGUCUCACAUGCAUGAGGCACUAGGUUCGAUCCUCAGCACCA